GGCUGGUUAGCUCAGUUGGUUAGAGUGUGGUGCAAAUAACACCAAGGUUGUGGAUUCGAUCCCCAUAUAGGUCA
rnacentral:tRNA from 1 species